UACAGAGGUCUCAAGCGUUGUUCGGAUUCAUUGGGCGUAAAGGGUGCGUAGGUGGCGCCAUAAGUCAGGUGUGAAAUCUCGGGGCUCAACCCCGAAACUGCACUUGAUACUGUGGUGCUGGAGUACUGGAGAGGAGAUUGGAAUUUACGGUGUAGCAGUGAAAUGCGUAGAUAUCGUAAGGAAGACCAGUGGCGAAGGCGAAUCUCUGGACAGUUACUGACACUGAGGCACGAAAGCGUGGGGAGCAAACAGG
rnacentral:rRNA from 1 species